rnacentral:lncRNA from 1 species
ACAUCCAAGACAUUUCGUACAAACACAAAGUCAUAAUACAUAUUGUCGUAUUACAUAUUAUCACAAAUUAACUGACAUGUUAAACUCCUAAUCAUCUAAUACACCCAAAUCACAUAAAUAUCUUCAUGAAUAACAUUGCUGCUAAUACAAACGGUAACCACAAAUAGAACUUAAUCCUCCAAAAUUCAUUGUGCAUUGCAAAUCUUAGCUCUUUUAUCUCAUUACUUAAUCUUAUAUC